rnacentral:rRNA from 1 species
GAUGAACGCUGGCGGCGUGCCUAAUACAUGCAAGUCGAGCGAACAGACGAGGAGCUUGCUCCUCUGACGUUAGCGGCGGACGGGUGAGUAACACGUGGAUAACCUACCUAUAAGACUGGGAUAACUUCGGGAAACCGGAGCUAAUACCGGAUAAUAUAUUGAACCGCAUGGUUCAAUAGUGAAAGACGGUUUUGCUGUCACUUAUAGAUGGAUCCGCGCCGCAUUAGCUAGUUGGUAAGGUAACGGCUUACCAAGGCAACGAUGCGUAGCCGACCUGAGAGGGGGAAGGGCCACAGUGAAAGGGAGACACGGUCCAGACACCGAGGGGGGGGAGGAGUAGGGAAGCUUCCGAAAUGGGGGAAAGCGUGAAGGAGAAACGCCGGGUGGGGGAAGAAGUUUUUCGGAUGGUAAAACUCUGUUAGGGGGGAAAAAAAAAUGGGUAAGUAACUAUGCAGGUGUUAACGGAAACUAUAAAGAAAGCCACGGUAAACAACGG